rnacentral:rRNA from 1 species
UCAGUUCGGAUGCACUCUGCAACUCGAGUGCAUGAAGUCGGAAUCGCUAGUAAUCGCGGAUCAGCAUGCCGCGGUGAAUACGUUCUCGGGCCUUGUACACACCGCCCGUCACACCAUGGGAGUUGGUUUUGCCUGAAGACGGUGUGCUAACCGCAAGGAGGCAGCCGGCCACGGUAGGGUCAGCGACUGGGGUGAAGUCGUAACAAGGUAGCCGUAGGGGAACC